UGCGUAGGCGGAAUAUUAAGUCAGUGGUGAAAUCCCGCGGCUCAACCGUAGAACUGCCAUUGAUACUGAUAUUCUUGAAUGUAGUUGAGGUAGGCGGAAUGUGUAAUGUAGCGGUGAAAUGCUUAGAUAUUACACAGAACACCGAUUGCGAAGGCAGCUUACUAAACUAUGAUUGACGCUGAGGCACGAAAGCGUGGGGAGCGAACAGGAUUAGAUACCCUGGUAGUC
rnacentral:rRNA from 1 species